GACGUAGGGCGCAAGCGUUGUCCGGAUUUAUUGGGCGUAAAGAGCUCGUAGGCGGCUUGUCGCGUCGACUGUGAAAACCCACGGCUUAACCGCGGGACUGCAGUCGAUACGGGCAGGCUAGAGUUCGGUAGGGGAGACUGGAAUUCCUGGUGUAGCGGUGAAAUGCGCAGAUAUCAGGAGGAACACCGGUGGCGAAGGCGGGUCUCUGGGCCGAAACUGACGCUGAGGAGCGAAAGCGUGGGGAGCGAACAGA
rnacentral:rRNA from 1 species